GGGAAUGUAGCUCAGUUGGUAGAGUGCUUGCCUCGGUUGCAAGAGGCCUUGGGUUCAAUCCCCAGCACCA
rfam:Ictidomys tridecemlineatus contig107587, whole genome shotgun sequence.